rnacentral:rRNA from 1 species
GGCCUAACACAUGCAAGUCGAGCGAGGACUUCGGUUCUAGCGGCGGACGGGUGAGUAACGCGUGGGAAUGUGCCCUUCUCUACGGAAUAGCCCUGGGAAACUGGGAGUAAUACCGUAUACGCCCUAUUGGGGAAAGAUUUAUCGGAGAAGGAUCAGCCCGCGUUGGAUUAGGCAGUUGGUGGGGUAAUGGCCUACCAAGCCGACGAUCCAUAGCUGGUUUGAGAGGAUGAUCAGCCACACUGGGACUGAGACACGGCCCAGACUCCUACGGGAGGCAGCAGUGGGGAAUCUUAGACAAUGGGGGCAACCCUGAUCUAGCCAUGCCGCGUGAGUGAUGAAGGCCUUAGGGUUGUAAAGCUCUUUCAGCUGGGAAGAUAAUGACGGUACCAGCAGAAGAAGCCCCGGCUAACUCCGUGCCAGCAGCCGCGGUAAUACGGAGGGGGCUAGCGUUGUUCGGAAUUACUGGGCGUAAAGCGCACGUAGGCGGACCGGAAAGUCAGAGGUGAAAUCCCAGGGCUCAACCUUGGAACUGCCUUUGAAACUAUCGGUCUGGAGUCCGAGAGAGGUGAGUGGAAUUCCGAGUGUAGAGGUGAAAUUCGUAGAUAUUCGGAGGAACACCAGUGGCGAAGGCGGCUCACUGGCUCGAUACUGACGCUGAGGUGCGAAAGCGUGGGGAGCAAACGGGAUUA